AUUCAGCUGAUGAGUCCUAAAUAGGACGAAACGCACGUCCUAGAU
rnacentral:hammerhead_ribozyme from 1 species